UACGUAUGGUGCAAGCGUUAUCCGGAUUUACUGGGCGUAAAGGGAGCGCAGGCGGCGCGCCAAGUCUGAUGUGAAACCCCAGGGCUCAACCCCGGGCAUGCAUUGGAAACUGGCGGGCUGGAGUGCCGGAGAGGUAAGCGGAAUUCCUAGUGUAGCGGUGAAAUGCGUAGAUAUUAGGAGGAACACCAGUGGCGAAGGCGGCUUACUGGACGGCAACUGACGCUGAGGCUCGAAAGCGUGGGGAGCAAACAGG
rnacentral:rRNA from 1 species